rnacentral:lncRNA from 1 species
CUGCGUGCCUAAUGUCCCAAUACGUUUCAACUAUUCUUGUUAAGUCAGGCUCACUUUGUUUUUUAAGGUUCUCUGCUGGCUUCCCAGUUCUGAGGUCCAGGCGUUCAUUUCUAUGCUAAUAUUCUUUUUACCACUUAUAAAAGGGGUGUGUCUCAAUCCUGCUACAUCAUUAUGAAAACAUGGCUCACAAGUGGAGUCAUGUGGGCGGGAGCCAGACACUGUGUCUUUGUUUGGUCAUUUAGUGAUGUAACCCUUGAAAAAUCCUCUCUCAGAUCAUUCUGUUGGGAACAGUUUCCAAGCCGUUAAAAUGUUAUUCUUCCGAGCCUUCCUGCGUUGAUAGCCGGGGAAGGGGGACAAAAUGCAAUGUCACCGUGCAAUCCAUCUGGAAGGUCGAGGCCAGGGGCGGAGAUGGACCGAGCGGAACCCUGAGCGUCAGGGAGCAGAAAGCAGGUGUGGGAGCGCGGGAGCUCCCACCGCCCAGACACGGCAUCUCCUCCUCCUUCUUUAGAGAGAGUCUUGUCACGCGAGGCAGCACAUGCUCCUCCAGUUAGACUGUGGGGUGCACGCCUGUCAUUCCAGCCCUUCGUCUGCGCUCCUGGUGGUUCUGGAGAUCGCUUCCUGUGAAUCCCUGAGCUGGCGUCGGACCCCACUCUUUUUCUGUCUUACGCUGGGUGCUGAGAAGUCACCUGCCCAGGGAACCCCUCACAGCAAAUCACAAGUGUUAGCAUCAAUCAGACUCACUGACGACCCAACAAAGAAUGUCUGGCUGGAAGUGGGGAAGGAAUGAUGGAGAGUUUUCUAUCAGGUGGAACCUCAUGAAAUUGCUGUUGUUCUGGGUAAAAACAAACAAGCAAAAAACCCAAAAACAGUUGAUCAUCAGCGAUUUCACAGGGCACAGGUGAGUCUAGAGGCGGUCCAUGAGGAGGUCGGGGUGCUGGGGGCUGGGUGGAGGGGAUGGGGAAGGAAGAAGGAUACUGUCCCCCUCACUCCCUUCCCUGCUGCUGGAGCAGAGGCCACCUUCCCUGAGACAGUGGGCGUGAAUGCAGGGACACCCGUGGCAGAGUCGCGGGCAGGUGGAAAGCUCUAAGCAGUGGUGCAGGUGUGGGGUGCAGGGAUGGAGGGAGACCGCCCAGGUCCUUGGAGGAACUGAGCAGGCAGC